CGCCCUGCCUCACACCUACAGUACCCCACAGCAACAAGAGAGCUUAGUGACAUGAAAAGAAUGGAACAUGACAACAGCAAAGACGACGACAGUGGAGACACCUCUGAAGAAAUGCCCUAGAGCCCUUGGGCCGUCACGCUUCAGGAAUGUGCGUGAGGUGCUAGGAGACCUGGAGAUGGGGGGUGUCCUGCUGGCCGUAGCCACUUUCGGUCUCCUGGCUUCUACCCUCUACCCUACUGGCAGGGCAUUGUGCAGCACCC